rnacentral:rRNA from 1 species
AAUGCGUAUGGUGGAUGCCUUGGCGAUUGCAGGCGAUGAAGGACGUAGCAAUCUGCGAUAAGCUUCGGGGAGUGGAUAAGCACACUUUGAUCCGGAGAUGUCCGAAUGGGGAAACCCACCCGCUUGCGGGUAUCGCAUCCUGAAUACAUAGGGAUGCGAAGCGAACCCGGCGAACUGAAACAUCUAAGUAGCCGGAGGAAAAGAAAUCAACCGAGAUUCCCAGAGUAGUGGCGAGCGAAAUGGGAACAGUCCGUGUCCGCAUCAACCAAAACAAUCUAGCAAAACCGUCUGGAAAGUCGGACCAUAGGGGGUGACAGUCCCGUAUGCGAAAGAUUGGUUUGGGGGCGGACGAAGAGUAGGGCGGGACACGUGUUAUCCCGUCCGAACAUGGGGGGCCCAUCCUCCAAGACUAAAUACUGGCAAUCGACCGAUAGCGAACAAGUACCGUGAGGGAAAGGUGAAAAGUACCCCAAUGCGGGGAGUGAAAGAGAACCUGAAACCGUACGCCUACAAGCAGCGAGAGCUCUGAUGGAGUGAUCGCGUACCUUUUGUAUAAUGGGUCAGCGAGUUGAUUUUGCGAGCAAGCUUAAGCCACUAGGUGUAAGCGCAGCGAAAGCGAGUCUGAAGAGGGCGUCUAGUUCGUAGUAUCAAACCCGAAACCAGGUGAUCUAGCUAUGGCCAGGCUGAAAGCGGAGUAAUAUCCGCCGGAGGGCCGAACCCACUAACGUUGAAAUGUUAGGGGAUGAGCUGUGGCUAGGGGUGAAAGGCCAAUCAAACCUGGAGAUAGCUGGUUCUCUCCGAAAACUAUUGAGGUAGUGCCUCGUGUUUAUCACUGCCGGGGGUAGAGCACUGUUAUGGCUAGGGGGUCACGCCGACUUACCAAACCAUGGCAAACUCCGAAUACCGGUAAGCGCAAUCACGGGAGACAGACAGCGGGUGCGAACGUCCGUUGUCAAGAGGGAAACAACCCAGACCGCCGUCUAAGGCCCCCAAGCCGUUGCUAAGUGGGAAACGAAGUGGGGGGGCACACACAGCCAGGAUGUUGGCUUAGAAGCAGCCAUCAUUUAAAGAAAGCGUAAUAGCUCACUGGUCUAGUCCCCCUGCGCGGAAAAUGUAACGGGGCUUAAGCAACGCGCCGAAGACGCGGGUGUCAGAAGGUUGAGUAAAGGGAAUUCGGCUUAAAGCCGAAUCGUGGAACGGGCGUUUACCCUAGCCCGUUCCUUUGCGGUAUGGUAAAAUUCGGGCAUGACGACAAACGCCAUUGCCAUCGCGCGCAAUCUAGCCGCCGCGGGAGUGGAACAAAAAGCCGCGGAUGCGAUUGCAGAGGCGGUCGUCACGCAUUCCGACGAAAGCUUUGCCACGAAAACAGAUGUCGCCAAUGUGAGAAACGAUAUUGUUAGGUUGGAAGGCAAAAUAGAGGCAUUGGCGAUACAGAUUAAAAUAUCCAUAGGAUUGUCGGUCGGGCUUUAUGUCGCUCUCUUCGCCUUUCUUUUGGGAAAACUGUAGUCAAGAGAAGAUGAGAAUAUUGUCGGACAUGUUGGUUAAUGGGUUUCAGCAGCUCAUUGAACUUAUUUUGUGGCUUUCUUUGUUGAUAUUUCUUGUAGGAGGAUGGACAUUAAAUCAGGUCAUGGGCCUUGUGGUGGGUUUCUUGCUCUGGCUCGUUAUUAUGUCUGUUUUUUGCAGUUUAUUUAUUAUGGUUUACGACAUUAGAAUAAGCUUGAAAAAUAUUGAAAAAUCCGCCAGUCUCGGAAAGAAAGAAAAUAAUACAAAUUAAUUCACGCAACUGUCGGUUGUGGGCGGUUGAAGAAUUCCCUUUACUCAACCUUUUGACGCGGUAGGAGAGCGUUCCGUAAGCCAGUGAAGGCGGUUUGAAAGGGCCGCUGGAGGUAUCGGAAGUGAGAAUGCUGACAUGAGUAACGUUAAAACGGGUGAAAAACCCGUUCGCCGAAAGUCCCAGGUUUCCUGUGCAAUGUUAAUCAUCGCAGGGUUAGUCGAUUCCUAAGGCGAGGCCGAAAGGCGUAGUCGAUGGAAAACGGGUUAAUAUUCCCGUACCUUCGCAUGAUGCGAUGGGGUGACGGAGAGUGCUGCCUUGUCCGGGUGUUGGAAGUCCCGGUUCAAGCUGGUAGUUCAUUGAUGUUUCCAGGUAAAUCCGGAAACGGAGAAUGAGAAGCGACAACGACCGCUUUUUCGGAAGCGGGAAGCAAGUGACGCACGCUCCCAAGAAAAGCCUCUAAGCUUCAGUCAUGCGAGGAUCGUACCGCAAACCGACACUGGUGGACAGGAAGAAUAUUCCAAGGCGCUUGAGAGAACUCGGGUGAAGGAACUCGGCAAAAUGAUACCGUAACUUCGGGAGAAGGUAUGCCCCGACAAUGUGAAGUCCCUCGCGGACGGAGCAGUAAGGGGUCGAAGAGAAUUGGUGGCUGCGACUGUUUACUAAAAACACAGCACUCUGCAAACACGAAAGUGGAAGUAUAGGGUGUGACGCCUGCCCAAUGCCGGAAGGUUAAUUGACGGGGUUAGCCCUUAUGGGCGAAGCUCCUGAUCGAAGCCCCGGUCAAUGGCGGCCGUAACUAUAACGGUCCUAAGGUACCGAAAUUCCUUGUCGGGUAAGUUCCGACCUGCACGAAUGGCGUAACGACUGCUCCGGUGUCUCCAGCAUGGGCUCAGCGAAAUUGAAUUCUCCGUGAAGAUGCGGAGUACCCGCGGUUAGACGGAAAGACCCUAUGCACCUUUACUACAGCUUUGCGCUGACGCCAGAAUUUGUCUGUGUAGGAUAGGCGGGAGACUUUGAAGUUGCGGCGCCAGCCGUGAUGGAGUCGUCCUUGAAAUACCGCCCUGAUACAUUUUGGUGUCUAACCUUGUUCUGUUAUCCAGAAUGGGAACACCGCAUGGUGGGUAGUUUGACUGGGGCGGUCGCCUCCUAAAGAGUAACGGAGGCGCGCAAAGGUGGGCUCAGUUCGGUCGGAAACCGAACGCUGAGUGCAAUGGCAUAAGCCUGCUUGACUGUGAGAGCGACAGCUCGAACAGGGACGAAAGUCGGUCAUAGUGAUCCGGUGGUUCUGUGUGGAAGGGCCAUCGCUAAACGGAUAAAAGGUACGCUAGGGAUAACAGGCUAAUCUCCCCCAAGAGUUCUCAUCGACGGGGAGGUUUGGCACCUCGAUGUCGACUCAUCGCAUCCUGGGGCUGUAGCAGGUCCCAAGGGUAUGGCUGUUCGCCAUUUAAAGCGGUACGCGAGUUGGGUUCAGAACGUCGUGAGACAGUUUGGUCCCUAUCUGCCGUGGGUGUUUGAAACUUGAAAGGAGCUGUCCCUAGUACGAGAGGACCGGGAUGGACAUACCUCUGGUGUGCCGAUUGUGGUGCCAACCGCACCGUCGGGUAGCUAAGUAUGGAAACGAUAACCGCUGAAAGCAUCUAAGCGGGAAGCGUGCCUUGAAACGAGGUUUCUUCUGAGGGCCGUCGCAGACGACGACGUCAAUAGGCUCGGUGUGGAAGCGCAGCAAUGCGUGCAGCUAACGAGUACUAAUCGCCCAACGGCUUGUUUU